GAUAAUUGUGAACAGGAACAGCUAAGGGUAUGAUAAAAGAAGAGUUUAAUAAUGUGAUGAGGUGAAAGAAGACGGAAAAGGUGAAGAUAAUGGAAAAAGGAGUGAAUUGGUAGAAAAGGAAGAGAAGAAAAUAGGAAAGAGGGUGCUUCCAAAUGGCAAAUAGGGCUAGACCAAAAGAAGACAAAAAAUCUAAAAAGGUAAAGGUGAUGAGUUCUGUAUGAUCCAUUUUUUGGAAUACAUGCUUUAGUGCCAUAGCAAGUCCAAUAACCUCAGUUGUUCCUUGAUCCUAAAAUUGAC
rnacentral:lncRNA from 1 species